ACUCCUACGGGAGGCAGCAGUGGGGAAUAUUGCACAAUGGGCGCAAGCCUGAUGCAGCCAUGCCGCGUGUGUGAAGAAGGCCUUCGGGUUGUAAAGCACUUUUCAGUCGUGAGGAAGGUAGUGUAGUUAAUAGCUGCAUUAUUUGACGUUAGCGACAGAAGAAGCACCGGCUAACUCCGUGCCAGCAGCCGCGGUAAUACGGAGGGUGCGAGCGUUAAUCGGAAUUACUGGGCGUAAAGCGCAUGCAGGUGGUUUGUUAAGUCAGAUGUGAAAGCCCGGGGCUCAACCUCGGAAUUGCAUUUGAAACUGGCAGACUAGAGUACUGUAGAGGGGGGUAGAAUUUCAGGUGUAGCGGUGAAAAUGCGUAGAGAUACUGAAGGAAGUACCGGUGGCGAAGGCGGCCCCCUGGACAGAUACUGACACUCAGAUGCG
rnacentral:rRNA from 1 species